GGAUGAACGCUAGCGGCAGGCUUAACACAUGCAAGUCGAGGGGCAGCACGAGGUAGCAAUACUUUGGUGGCGACCGGCGCACGGGUGCGUAACGCGUAUGCAACCUACCUUUAACAGGGGGAUAACACUGAGAAAUUGGUACUAAUACCCCAUAACAUCAUGAAAGGCAUCUUUUAUGGUUGAAAAUUCCGAUGGUUAGAGAUGGGCAUGCGUUGUAUUAGCUAGUUGGUGAGGUAACGGCUCACCAAGGCGACGAUACAUAGGGGGACUGAGAGGUUAACCCCCCACACUGGUACUGAGACACGGACCAGACUCCUACGGGAGGCAGCAGUGAGGAAUAUUGGUCAAUGGACGCAAGUCUGAACCAGCCAUGCCGCGUGCAGGAUGACGGCUCUAUGAGUUGUAAACUGCUUUUGUACGAGGGUAAACGCAGAUACGUGUAUCUGUCUGAAAGUAUCGUACGAAUAAGGAUCGGCUAACUCCGUGCCAGCAGCCGCGGUAAUACGGAGGAUUCAAGCGUUAUCCGGAUUUAUUGGGUUUAAAGGGUGCGUAGGCGGUUUGAUAAGUUAGAGGUGAAAUGUUAGGGCUCAACCCUGAAACUGCCUCUAAUACUGUUGGACUAGAGAGUAGUUGCGGUAGGCGGAAUGUAUGGUGUAGCGGUGAAAUGCUUAGAGAUCAUACAGAACACCGAUUGCGAAGGCAGCUUACCAAACUAUAUCUGACGUUGAGGCACGAAAGCGUGGGGAGCAAACAGGAUUAGAUACCCUGGUAGUCCACGCAGUAAACGAUGAUAACUCGUUGUCGGCGAUACACAGUCGGUGACUAAGCGAAAGCGAUAAGUUAUCCACCUGGGGAGUACGUUCGCAAGAAUGAAACUCAAAGGAAUUGACGGGGGCCCGCACAAGCGGAGGAACAUGUG
rnacentral:rRNA from 1 species